rnacentral:rRNA from 1 species
GACGAACGCUGGCGGCGUGCCUAAUACAUGCAAGUCGAACGAGAGCGACCGGUGCUUGCACUGGUCAAUCUAGUGGCGAACGGGUGAGUAACACGUGGGUAACCUGCCCAUCAGGGGGGGAUAACAUCCGGAAACGGAUGCUAAAACCGCAUAGGUCUUCGAGCCGCAUGGCUUGAAGAGGAAAAGAGGCGCAAGCUUCUGCUGAUGGAUGGACCCGCGGUGCAUUAGCUAGUUGGUGAGGUAACGGCUCACCAAGGCCGUGAUGCAUAGCCGACCUGAGAGGGUGGUCGGCCACAUUGGGACUGAGACACGGCCCAAACUCCUACGGGAGGCAGCAGUAGGGAAUCUUCCGCAAUGGACGCAAGUCUGACGGAGCAACGCCGCGUGAGUGAAGAAGGUUUUCGGAUCGUAAAACUCUGUUGUUAGAGAAGAACAAGUGCUAGAGUAACUGUUAGCGCCUUGACGGUAUCUAACCAGAAAGCCACGGCUAACUACGU